rnacentral:lncRNA from 1 species
AGACCCCGAAGCUGGAGUGUUCCCUGCUGCCUUUCGCUUACUGUGGCGUCCCAUUGCUGUUUUGAUCAGCAAUCCUGUAUUCUAUGCAGACUUACUUCUCUGCCACUGCUCUGAGACAGCAAGCUUCUAAAGGCAUCAAGACUCCAAGAUGCCCCAAAGUUCCUUUUGUGGAAAGCUGAACAUUUCUUUCAUGUGCUGGCCCGGGAUUAUGAUUUUUUUCUGAAACAGUCACUUCCUGUCACAAGGAUAAGUCAACUGUUCCCAAGGCAUCCCAGAGAAGCCUGAAGUAGAGUUGUUGGUGCACGCUGAAGAGGCCUUAAGUGAGGCCACAAAGAAAUCUGACUAGGAACACAGCAUUCUUUGAGCCAGCCUUGCAAAGGCCGCCUGCAGUGAGGCUGGCCCCGCCUGAGUCAUCUCUGAGUGGGAAGGACUGGAGCCAGCUGUCUCCUCAGGCUGGCUGGGGUUUGCAUUUCUCUGCCAAAGUCACACUUCAAGCAUGUGAAACAGUCCUGAGUUGUUAGCUGGGGUCAGAGUCACAGCGCCACUCAAUAGACUUCCCUCUCCCCAGCUGUCCUCCUCUGUCCUCCACUUCCCAGGCUUCACAGGGACCGAGGCCCUUAGGGAAGGCACAUCACAUUCUGACUGUGUGCAAGAAGAGUCUAUGUUCUGACACGAUUGCCUCCCAGAACUGCAAUUCUAUUCAUUCUAUUAAAAAAAAAAUUCCACC